AAGAAGCACAAACAACACAAACUGUUCACACAAAGGCUUCACAUCACUGUGAGGCUCCAAUUCUGUCUUAGGUCAGACAAAGCAGCUCAAUCCAACACCUGUCACCAUCAGAGUUACAUCAUGUGUCCCUUUAAUUCACACAUUGACACGUUUUCUCACUGAAAUCAUUUCAGACAUCUUUGUGAUUAUUUUACAGAUUUUUAUGUAAAGUGACACAAUUGUAAUGAUUUUUGUUGUGAUUGCCCAAGGCGGGGCUCGAACUCACGACCUUGUGCACGGCAGCAAGAGGCCCCCCUCCUGCCCUCUUCCCCCCACAAACAAGAAUGAGCAUUAUUCUCUGUCACUACUUUUUUUUGUUCCGAUUGUUCCAAUUUCCCAACCAAUCAAAUGGCAGCAUUUGUUCCAAUUUCAAGUAUCAAAAUUUGGGCGUCCAAUCAGAGAGCCGGAUUUGUUCCAAUUUCUCGAUCCCGCCCCCCGGCUUUUACUGUCAUGGCUGCCGUCUUCCUGGUUGGACGUAAGUGCUGUUUUUCCUUUUAUUUAACGACAAAUCGACGGUUUUAAUUGCUGAAAUGAUAUUGAUAUUUUUUUUAUGGAAAAGUCUCUUCCCUUUUCUGUGGCGUGUUUUUAGUAAAAGAUGCGCUAAUAGAUUGUAAAACUGUGGCUUUCUGCUUAGUUUUUCUCCUGCUAGUUUUUUAAAAGUAUGUUGUUCACAUUCUGGGUAAGUUAUGUGAACAUAUGCUGAUGCACGGAUUAUAAAACGAUUAUAAGGCUGCAAAUAAGAUUAUAGGGCUCAUUUCACGACUUUUAAAGGUUUAUAAAGUAAGAAUGGUGGACCAACAAUGAUGCUUUCCUCUGGAAGGACUUUUUAGACCCACAAGGAGGAAGAACUCUUCUUUUUCUGGGAAGGAGAGUCUCCAACAGUUUUGUGGAACUCCAGGCUGAUGGCUCAGACCGGACUUCAGAUGUUUCAGCGGAACCAGAGGACCCUGUGACAGUGGUUCUCCAGUCAGGUUGAAAAAGUGGGAGCAGGAAGCUGGACUCCGUCCUCAUUCCUAUUGUUUCCCUGCAGCUAAAGGGCUGUCCUCGCUUCAGGUGGGACAGGGACAGCCCUACGACUACAAGAUGCCAGAGGAGAACAUUCCUCUGCCAGCAACACAUUCCAAAUAUGAAUCCUGAAGCUCCACCACCAUCAUCACCUCCUUCUCCUCCUAAGCGUGUGCCCAGGACCACCGCCUUUAGAAGGAGGAAAGCGUCAGAAGCAGCUGCAGCACCAGAGCAAGUUCCCUGACAGGUUAUGCAGACCACCUGCAGAAAGUGUGGCCACAAACGGAUUUCUGGGAUGUCUGACUGCGCAGCUGCAGACGGGAAGAGUGUGGAGGAAUGGAGGGAAGAAAUGAAAAGAUCCAAGGACCAAUAAAGACUAUUUAAAUACGUAUUUUACAUUUUUUGGAUUGAAAAAGAAAUAAAAUGUUGCUGCAAA